UACGUAGGAGGCAAGCGUUGUCCGGAAUUACUGGGCGUAAAGCGCGUGUAGGUGGUGGGACAAGUCUGCUGUGAAAGCGCCUGGCUUAACCGGGCGAGGUCGGCGGAAACUGUUCGACUCGAGGACGGUAGAGGGGGGUGGAAUUCCCGGUGUAGUGGUGAAAUGCGUAGAGAUCGGGAGGAACACCUGUGGUGUAGACGGCUAUCUGGACGGCGACUGACGCUGAGACACGAAAGCGUGGGUAGCAAACAGG
rnacentral:rRNA from 1 species